rnacentral:rRNA from 1 species
AGAAUCAACGCUGGCGGCGUGCCUAACACAUGCAAGUCGAACGCGGUUACCCCGCAAGGGGUGACUGAGUGGCAAACGGGUGAGUAACGCGUGGGUGACCUACCUUCGAGUGGGGGAUAACGUUUCGAAAGGAACGCUAAUACCGCAUGACAUCCUGCUUUUAGACAGGCGGAGAUCAAAGCCGGGGAUCGCAAGACCUGGCGCUUGGAGAGGGGCCCGCGUCCGAUUAGCUAGUUGGUGGGGUAACGGCUCACCAAGGCGACGAU